GUGCUCGCUUCGGCAGCACAUAUACUAAAAUUGGAACGAUACAGAGAAGAUUCGCAUAGCCCUUGUGCAAGGUUGACACACAAAUUCGUUCACUGAAACAUCUCACC